UACAGAGGUGGCAAGCGUUGUUCGGAAUUACUGGGCGUAAAGGGCUCGUAGGCGGCCAACUAAGUCCGACGUGAAAUCCCCAGGCUCAACCUGGGAACUGCGUCGGAUACUGGAUGGCUUGAAUUCGGGAGAGGGAUGCAGAAUUCCAGGUGUAGCGGUGAAAUGCGUAGAUAUCUGGAGGAACACCGGUGGCGAAGGCGGGUCUCUGGGCCGAUACUGACGCUGAGGAGCGAAAGCGUGGGGAGCAAACAGG
rnacentral:rRNA from 1 species